rnacentral:rRNA from 1 species
GAUGAACGCUGGCGGCGUGCUUAACACAUGCAAGUCGAACGGUGAACGAGGGAGCUUGCUCCCUCCGGAUCAGUGGCGAACGGGUGAGUAACACGUGAGCAAUCUGCCCUGGACUCUGGGAUAAGCGUUGGAAACGACGUCUAAUACCGGAUACGAGGCGUGGGGGCAUCCCCAACGCCUGGAAAGAACUUCGGUCCAGGAUGAGCUCGCGGCCUAUCAGGUAGUUGGUGAGGUAACGGCUCACCAAGCCUACGACGGGUAGCCGGCCUGAGAGGGUGAC